AGCGGGAGGCGACUCCAGGUGUGCCCCCCACACCAGGCGCGAGGCGCAGGGCUCGGGUUACAGUCACUGCUGCCACCUCUUCCAAGAGGCUGGCUUUUGAGAAAUCUGCGGGCUCUGGAAGCACGCUGUGUGCUUGCUGGGGAGCCGGGGGCUACGCCUCUGCGUACAGCGUGUCCCCGCUCUGUCCUCACGCAGGCGUCAGGUGCCGCUGAGGUCAGCGGAGCCCGGGCCGCCCGCGCCUGCGGUCAGCACAGCUGUCCCCACCGCCGCCUGGGUGCACAGGCGCCAGCCAGCAGGCCCGGCCUACGUGCGCUCUUCCCUCUGACGUCGGCUGGUCACUGGUCAUUUGCUGCUGUGUGACCCUCGGGAACUCACUUGGCCUCUGGGGAUCGGCGUCUCACUGCAAAGCAGGGCGACACUGGAGCAGGAAGUCGUCUGCCUUCUCUGCCUGCUGGCUGCACGCACGGCUGAACACACUGCGUGGCCGAGCAGCAGGGGAUGUGGAGGGAGCUCUUGCAGCCCUCCCGUGGGCUUGGGUAUUGCUCCAGAGAUAAACAAGCAAACGAACAAAUGACUGUGAUUCCAGCACUUGGGAGGCUGAGACAGGAGGAUCACCACCAGUUUGAGGCCAGCCUAGGCUACAUAUUGGUAGCCUUUCCCACCCCACCCUCAACAAAAGAAAUGAAAAUUGAAAAUGGUACAACGACGUGAAUGAACUUAAUGUCACCAAACUGUGCGCUAUGAAAAUGGCUAAAAUAAACCAGGUAUGGUAGCUCA